CGGGGAAGCCGCGAAUAGCUCAUUACAACAGUCGCAGUUCACAAGAGUAUUAAACAUGGAUAACUGUGGUAAUUCUAGAGCUAAUACAUAUGACAAACCCUGACUUACGGAAGGGUGAAUUUAUUAGAACAAAGCCAAUCAGACGCAAGUCUGUCUCAGGUUGACUCUGAAUAACUUUUCUAAUCGCACGGUCUUUGUACUGGCGAUGUAUCUUUCAAAUGUCUGCCUUAUCAACUAC
rnacentral:rRNA from 1 species